UAGGGAAUCUUCGGCAAUGGGGGGAACCCUGACCGAGCAACGCCGCGUGAGUGAAGAAGGUUUUCGGAUCGUAAAGCUCUGUUGUUAAGGAAGAACGAGUGUGAGAAUGGAAAGUUCAUGCUGUGACGGUACUUAACCAGAAAGGGACGGCUAACUACGUGCCAGCAGCCGCGGUAAUACGUAGGUCCCGAGCGUUGUCCGGAUUUAUUGGGCGUAAAGCGAGCGCAGGCGGUUAGAAAAGUCUGAAGUGAAAGGCAGUGGCUCAACCAUUGUAGGCUUUGGAAACUGUUUAACUUGAGUGCAGAAGGGGAGAGUGGAAGUCCAUGUGUAGCGGUGAAAUGCGUAGAUAUAUGGAGGAACACCGGUGGCGAAAGCGGCUCUCUGGUCUGUAACUGACGCUGAGGCUCGAAAGCGUGGGGAGCGAACAGG
rnacentral:rRNA from 2 species